CCUUUGUACACACCGCCCGUCGCUACUACCGAUUGAAUGGCUCAGUGAGGCGUUCGGACUGGCUCGGGGAGGUUGGCAACGACCACCCCAAGCCGGAAAGUUCGUCAAACUCGGUCAUUUAGAGGAAGUAAAAGUCGUAACAAGGUCUCCGUAGGUGAACCUGCGGAGGGAUCAUUACACAAUAACAUAUGAAGGCUGCUCGCGGCUGGAGUAUUUAUUACCCUUGUCUUUUGCGCACUUGUUGUUUCCUGGGCGGGCUCGCCCGCCACCAGGACCACAUACAAACCUUUUUUAUGUAGUUGCAAUCAGCGUCAGUACAACAAAUGUAAAUCAUUUACAACUUUCAACAACGGAUCUCUUGGUUCUGGCAUCGAUGAAGAACGCAGCGAAAUGCGAUACGUAGUGUGAAUUGCAGAAUUCAGUGAAUCAUCGAAUCUUUGAACGCACAUUGCGCCCUUUGGUAUUCCAAAGGGCAUGCCUGUUCGAGCGUCAUUUGUACCCUCAAGCUUUGCUUGGUGUUGGGCGUUUUUUGUCUUUGGCCUGCCCAAAGACUCGCCUCAAAACGAUUGGCAGCCGGCCUCCUGGUUUCGCAGCGCAGCACAUUUUUGCGCUUGCAAUCAGCAAUAGAGGACGGCACUCCAUCAAGACUCGUUUUUAUCACUUUUGACCUCGGAUCAGGUAGGGAUACCCGCURAACUUAAGCAU
rnacentral:misc_RNA from 1 species